rnacentral:rRNA from 1 species
CCUACGGGUGGCUGCAGUGGGGAAUAUUGCACAAUGGGGGAAACCCUGAUGCAGCGACGCCGCGUGAGUGAAGAAGUAAUUCGUUACGUAAAGCUCUAUCAGCAGGGAAGAAAAACUGAAUUUACGGCUAGCAGACGGCACCUGAGUAAGAGGCCCCGGCGAACUACGUGCCAGCAGCCACGGUAAUACGCAGGGGGCAAGCGUUAUCCGGAUUUAGUGGGUGUAAAGGGAGCGUAGAGGGUGAGCCAAGUCUGAAGUGAAAGUCCGCUGCUUAACUGCGGGACUGCUUUGGAAACUGGCGAACUAGAGGGCAGGAGAGGUAAGCGGAAUUACUAGUGUAGCGGUGAAAUGCGGAGAUAUUAGGAGGAACACCGGUGGCGAAGGCGGCUUACUGGACCGUAACUGACGUUGAGGCUCGAAAGCGUGGGGAGCAAACAGGAUUAGAUACCCGAGUAGUC